rnacentral:rRNA from 1 species
UAUAAGACUGGGAUAACUUCGGGAAACCGGAGCUAAUACCGGAUAAUAUAUUGAACCGCAUGGUUCAAUAGUGAAAGACGGUUUUGCUGUCACUUAUAGAUGGAUCCGCGCCGCAUUAGCUAGUUGGUAAGGUAACGGCUUACCAAGGCAACGAUGCGUAGCCGACCUGAGAGGGUGAUCGGCCACACUGGAACUGAGACACGGUCCAGACUCCUACGGGAGGCAGCAGCG